AGGUCCACUUUUCGAAAUCUUUCGGGAGAAGGAAACCAACGUGACAAGUCCACUAAUAGAUAUUUUUCAGUAAAAUCUUUGCCUUGAAUUCGGUUUAACCAGACCAAUACGUAUCACCAUUUUCACCAUAUCUAGUAGACGAAUUUGCAUUAUUGUUGUGCCAAAUAAAGUGGUAUAUUUUAUUACUUUAUUCGAAAUUAUCAAAAAGUAAUUUUCUAUCAAAAUUGGAC